rnacentral:lncRNA from 1 species
GGCAGGCAAGACAGUGGGGGAACAACCAGGGGCCCAGUGCAUGGCUGCCACAGUGGCUCAGAGGAGGGCAAGGACUGAUGGAUGGACGACAGCCCCGAGAGCCAGCUGAGUUUGGAGACGGGGCUGUGUGGCCAUCCCGGCUGCCCGCGGGGCUCUUGCUCACCCUCGUCACCUCUGGCAUCUCCCCGGCAGCACUUAGCAGCCCAGUGAGAGAGCGGUCAAGGCAGGCGUGUGGAUGGAUCCAGGGCCCUCUCUCAAGGGUUCUGACAGAUGAGGGUCGAAGAAGGGCCAGGCUGUCCAGUCUCUGGGCCAGAGAGGAUGGGCAAAGUCAAGGAACAGGCAGGGUCAGCAGCCGGGGUGCAGGGAGAGGCAGGUGUAUGCUGGAAGGUCAGGCCCCACGAGGGCCCUUGGGGGCAUCAAGUGGGACAGGGCCCCGGCGCACCCUCAGUGCCCUGGGCAGGCCUCGGGCCAGUGAUGUGGUCACUCCCUCGGGAAAUGCUGUUGGGACCGGACCACCCACCCUGGGCCACACCCAUCCCGCCUCAGGCCUGGAUUUUCUGAGCUCCCGCAGA